rnacentral:rRNA from 1 species
GAUGAACGCUGGCGGCGUGCUUAACACAUGCAAGUCGAACGAUGAAGCCCAGCUUGCUGGGUGGAUUAGUGGCGAACGGGUGAGUAACACGUGAGUAACCUGCCCUUAACUCUGGGAUAAGCCUGGGAAACUGGGUCUAAUACCGGAUAGGAGCGCCUACCGCAUGGUGGGUGUUGGAAAGAUUUAUCGGUUUUGGAUGGACUCGCGGCCUAUCAGCUUGUUGGUGAGGUAAUGGCUCACCAAGGCGACGACGGGUAGCCGGCCUGAGAGGGUGACCGGCCACACUGGGACUGAGACACGGACCAGACUCCUACGGGAGGCAGCAGGGGGGAAUGUUGCACAAUGGGCGAAAGCCUGAUGCAGCGACGCCGCGUGAGGGAUGACGGCCUUCGGGGUGUAAACAUCUUUCAGUAGGGAAGAAGCGAAAGUGACGGUACCUGCAGAAGAAGCACCGGCUAACUACGUG